UCAGCUUGCUCUUUUAUCCAUUGUACAUGCUGUAAUUGGAUCUUUGGUUGUUCAUUGCAUAUGGAAUGCUGAUGUUAAACAUUUAUUGGAGUUCAACGAGUCGAAGAUAGCCAACUCAUCUAAAGAAGAGAGUGAUCCCAAAUCUAGCA